rnacentral:rRNA from 1 species
CUGGCGGCGUGGAUAAGACAUGCAAGUCGAACGCUGACAUACGGGUAGCAAUAUUCGGAUGUCGGAGUGGCGCAAGGGUGCGUAACACGUGGGCAAUCUGCCGUGAAGUCGGGGAUAACUUGCUGAAAGGCGAGCUAAUACCGGAUGUGAAAAUCGAAGGGCAUCUUUUGAUUUUCAAAGUUGGGGACCGCAAGGCCUGACGCUUCACGAUGAGCCCGCGGCCUAUCAGCUAGUUGGUAAGGUAACGGCUUACCAAGGCUAAGACGGGUAGCUGGUCUGAGAGGACGACCAGUCACACCGGAACUGAGACACGGUCCAGACACCUACGGGUGGCAGCAGUCGAGAAUUUUUCUCAAUGGGCGAAAGCCUGAAGGAGCGACGCCGCGUGGGGGAUGAAGGGCUUCGGCUCGUAAACCCCUGUCAUUUGCGAACAAACCUCUUCACUUAACAUGUGAAGAGCUGAUUGUAGCAGAAGAGGAAUGGACGGCUAACUCUGUGCCAGCAGCCGCGGUAAUACAGAGGUCCCAAGCGUUGUUCGGAUUCACUGGGCGUAAAGGGUGCGUAGGUGGCAAAGUAAGUCUGAUGUGAAAUCUCUGAGCUUAACUCGGAAACUGCAUUGGAAACUGCCUUGCUAGAGUAUUGGAAGGGGGACUGGAAUACUUGGUGUAGCAGUGAAAUGCGUAGAUAUCAAGUG